rfam:Triticum aestivum genome assembly, contig: Triticum_aestivum_CS42_TGACv1_scaffold_557057_7AL
AACAUACUCCCUACGUCCGAAAAUACUUGUCAUCAAGAUGGAUAAAAAGAGAUGUAUCUAUAACUAAAAUACGUCUACAUACAUCCUCUUUUAUCCAUUUUGACGACACAUAUUUCCGGAAGAAGGGAGUACGAG